rnacentral:misc_RNA from 1 species
GAUGAAGAACGCAGCGAAAUGCGAUAAAUAAUAUGAAUUGCAGAAUUCAGUGAAUCAUCGAGUCUUUGAACGCACAUUGCGCCCCCUGGUAUUCCGGGGGGCAUGCCUGUCCGAGCGUCAUUGCUGCCCUCAAGCACGGCUUGUGUGUUGGGCUUCCGUCCCUGGCAACGGGGACGGGCCCAAAAGGCAGUGGCGGCACCAUGUCUGGUCCUCGAGCGUAUGGGGCUUUGUCACCCGCUCCCGUAGGUCCAGCUGGCAGCUAGCCUCGCAACCAAUCUUUUUAACCAGGUUGACCUCGGAUCAGGUAGGGAUACCCGCUGAACUUAAGCAUAUCAAUAAGCGGAGGA